AAAACGAAAGUGAACUUACAGUAUAGAAAUGGAUGUAAAUUAAAUGAUUUAU
rnacentral:guide_RNA from 1 species